GUUGUGAUGGUUAGGGGUGAAAAUUUAAAAUUGCUAAUGUUGAAACUGUAGGUUCGAAUCCCACUUGAAGCA
rfam:Ananas comosus cultivar MD2 ACMD2_Scaffold_867, whole genome shotgun sequence.